CCCGGGCAGGUGAGGCUCGUUAGCCGUGGUAGGCAAUUCACCUAGGAGAGCAAACUCUAUACAAACCCGGGCAGGUGAGGCUCGUUAGCCGUGGUAGGCAAUUCACCUAGGAGAGCAAACUCUAUACAAACCCGGGCAGGUGGAGGUCGUUAGCCGUGGUAGGCAAUUCACCUAGGAGAGCAAACUCUAUACAAACCCGGGCAGGUGGAGGUCGUUAGCCGUGGUAGGCAAUUCACCUAGGAGAGCAAACUCUAUACAAACCCGGGCAGGUGGAGGUCGUUAGCCGUGGUAGGCAAUUCACCUAGGAGAGCAAACUCUAAACAAACCCGGGCAGGUGGAGGUCGUUAGCCGUGGUUGGCAAUUCACCUAGGAGAGCAAACUCUAAACAAACCCGGGCAGGUGGAGGUCGUUAGCCGUGGUAGGCAAUUCACCUAGGAGAGCAAACUCUAAACAAACCCGGGCAGGUGGAGGUCGUUAGCCGUGGUAGGCAAUUCACCUAGGAGAGCAAACUCUAAACAAACCCGGGCAGGUGAGGCUCGUUAGCCGUGGGAGGCAAUUCACCUAGGAGAGCAAACUCUAAACAAACCCGGGCAGGUGAGGCUCGUUAGCCGUGGUAGGCAAUUCACCUAGGAGAGCAAACUCUAAACAAACCCGGGCAGGUGAGGCUCGUUAGCCGUGGUAGGCAAUUCACCUAGGAGAGCAAACUCCGAACAACAAACCCGGGCAGGUGGAGGUCGUUAGCCGUGGUAGGCAAUUCACCUAGGAGAGCAAACUCCGAACAACAAACCCGGGCAGGUGGAGCUCGUCAGCCGUGGUAGGCAAUCUGCCUAGGAGAGCAAACUCCGAACAAUAAACCCGGGCAGGUGGAGGUCGUCAGCCGUGGUAGGCAAUCUGCCUAGGAGAGCAAACUCCGAACAAUAAACCCGGGCAGGUGGAGCUCGUCAGCCGUGGUAGGCAAUCUGCCUAGGAGAGCAAACUCCGAACAACAAACCCGGGCAGGUGGAGCUCGUCAGCCGUGGUAGGCAGUCUGCCUAGGAGAGCAAACUCCGAACAAUAAACCCGGGCAGGUGGAGGUCGUCAGCCGUGGUAGGCAAUUCACCUAGGAGAGCAAACUCCGAACAAUAAACCCGGGCAGGUGGAGGUCGUCAGCCGUGGUAGGCAAUCUGCCUAGGAGAGCAAACUCUAAAUAAACCCGGGCUUGUGGUGC